rnacentral:ncRNA from 1 species
AAUCGAGCGUUGAAGAGGAGAAGUAAAAAGCGGCAGGCUUAGAAAGAGAGAAUCACCACCGGCUGAAAGUGAUUUUAAGCGUCCGUUUUUGAAAUGCACCUCUGAGUCCCUUAUUGAAAUGAGUAGGUAAGGGCGGCUGCCUGCCGUUAACCAGGAACUUGAGUUGGGGAAUUUUUCCCAAACAGAGUGGAACCGCGCUUAAGCGUCUCUGUG